CAGAUCUCCAACCGCUCGGGGUCCCGUGAUUUCCAUUAAUGAAUUCGCACACUGGCGUUACCACUCAACACACCGACGACUGCAUUGUACCAUCACUAGAAUCUAGUGCUUAAUGGCAACUCGCCCUUUCCAAAGGGUCUCAACAAGUUCAGCGAGGUGAAAUUCAGCUUUUGCCCUAUCAUCUGAAUUCACAGGACUUCCAUCUAACAUCUAAGCAAGACGAUAGACAACAAUUAGCUAAAUCUACAUUAUUGGACAUGAUGGCUAAGUAAAAAACAUCACACCAGAAUCAAGGGGGAGUUCCCGUGCACAUGCUGUCUUGCCUGCCACC
rnacentral:lncRNA from 1 species